UUUACGGUUUGCAUGAAAUCAUACCAGUUGGAAAUAUCCUGCAGUUCUUAUCGUUUUUUGAUCGAUACAAAGAAGUGGACGUUAUGGGGAAAGUUGUGCAGGUUAGAUGGAUCGAUGCCAUUGAGACUACUCUCUUGAAAUAUUCCCGGACACCUUGAUACCCAGACCAUGACAUACAGUUCCUGUAAGUGCUGACAUACCGUCAAAGCAGUGACUUGUGUAACACCGAAUGGUGCAAUCACUUAUUUUUCAACUUUGAAUAUAGGGAUCAACAUGUACUCCACAGAAAAGUUCCAGCAAAACCCAAGGCUGGAAAACCACCUGUGAUCAAUUAAAACAAUGUGUGUCCUUGAACAUUCCGGCUUUUUAUCCUUGAGAGGACAGUUGGCUUAUAAAAAAGUUGAACUGUGUUACAUAUUAGCCAGGGGAGUAUUUACGUCUAGAGGGCUAACGAAAGGAUAAAAUCCACAUGCCAGCAGUCUACGAGCCAAUAUUUACCAAGAUAAAUAUGUGCAUGGGAAGCAUUAAACAGUAUAUUAAAUUCUAAUAACUGUUUAUUCAACCGUAAUAUUUUUAAAACAUUUUCUGGAGUGACUGCUAAGUACAAUGAUCUACAUGUUCACAUCUUCAGGAAUUAAGCACUCGGUUUUGUUUUUUUGGGGUUUUUUUUUGGGGGGGGGUAAUUUUAAUAUCGUUUUCUUCAUUUAUUAUUAUUAUUUGCAAAUCCUGUAUGAUUAAAAUAAAACUCGUGUGUCAAAUAGUUUAGUAUGAAUAAAAAAUGCACUAUUGAUUGUUAUUGUUUUACUAAGUAUAUUUUAUCAAUACAUGUUGAUUUUGAAUUCAUUCAGGAAUGGAAAUAUUAAAAGAAUAAUUCUGUUAAUGUUAUGUGUCCAUUCAGAGUCCUUUAUGAUCCGGAAUAAUUCUGCAGUCAGCUGUUGUCCAAAUAAUCAAGUUGCAGCAAUAAAAUUCCAUCACUUUGCAAUGUUCGUUGUCAAUGUUCUUGAUGAUCCGGAUAAUUUUGCAUGCAGUCGGCUGUAGUCCAAAUAAUCGAGACGGAAUAAUUCAUAUUGCACAAAAGCUGGCCCUAUAUCUGAUGAUAGCAAGGAUGUCUGGACUUGAGGGAGUAAAUACUCUUCCUGUAUUCUAAAUGUAAGAAAAAGUUUAUAUAUAAUGUACAGUGAAGCGUACAUGAGAAAUAAUAUUACAAAGAAAAUAUUGGUGACCUCAGAAAUUAAUUCAAGAAUUUUCUGAUGCUUAACUUUUUUUCUUUUUGGCUGUAAACAGGAAACAGGCGUUAAUUAUACUGAAGAUACACAUUCUACAAAUUUUCUACCACAUUAUUGGAACCAGCCA